rnacentral:snRNA from 1 species
AAGAAUUAUGUUCUUGCUUUGACAGCACAUAUACAGAGAAGAUGAGCAUGGCCUCUGAGCAAGGAUGAUAUGCAAAUUUGUGGGAAAAAAAAAAAAGAUUA